rnacentral:rRNA from 1 species
UACGUAGGGUGCGAGCGUUGUCCGGAAUUACUGGGCGUAAAGAGCUCGUAGGUGGUUUGUCGCGUUGUUCGUGAAAACCUGAGGCUUAACCUUGGGCGUGCGGGCGAUACGGGCAGACUGGAGUACUGCAGGGGAGACUGGAGUUCCUGGUGUAGCGGUGGAAUGCGCAGAUAUCAGGAGGAACACCGGUGGCGAAGGCGGAUCUCUGGGCCUUACCUGACGCUGAGGAGCGAAAGCAUGGGGAGCAAACAGG